rnacentral:rRNA from 1 species
UACGAAGGGGGGCUAGCGUUGCUCGGAAUGACUGGGCGUAAAGGGCGCGUAGGCGGAUGGCACAGCAGAUGUGAAAUUCCCGGGCUUAACCUGGGGGGCUGCAUUUGAUACGUGUUGUCUAGAGUGAGGAAGAGGGUUGUGGAAUUCCCCAGUGUAGAGGUGAAAAUUCGUAGAUAUUGGGAAGAACACCGGUGGCGAAGGCGGCAACCUGGUCCUUGACUGACGCUGAGGCGCGAAAGCGUGGGGGAGCAAAACAGG